rnacentral:rRNA from 1 species
AGGGUUUGAUCAUGGCUCAGAACGUACGCUGGCGGCACGCCUAACACAUGCAAGUCGAACGCAGUAGCAAUACUGAGUGGCAAACGGGUGAGUAUAAUGUGGGAAUCUGCCUUUUGGUUCGGAAUAACACGAGGAAACUUGUGCUAAUACCGGAUAAGCCCUUACGGGGAAAGUUUUAAUGCCAAAAGAUGAGCCCGCACUUGAUUAGCUAGUUGGUAAGGUAAUGGCUUACCAAGGCAACGAUCAAUAGCUGUUCUUAGAGGAAGACCAGCCACAUUGGGACUGAGACACGGCCCAAACUCCUACGGGAGGCAGCAGUGGGGAAUCUUGCACAAUGGGGGAAACUCUGAUGCAGCGAUGCCGCGUGAGUGAAGAAGGCCCUUGGGUUGUAAAGCUCUUUCGUCGGGGAAGAAAAUGACUGUACCCGAAUAAGAAGGUCCGGCUAACUUCGUGCCAGCAGCCGCGGUAAUACGAAGGGACCUAGCGUAGUUCGGAAUUACUGGGCUUAAAGAGUUCGUAGGUGGUUGAAAAAGUUGGUGGUGAAAUCCCAGAGCUUAACUCUGGAACUGCCAUCAAAACUUUUCAGCUAGAGUAUGAUAGAGGAAAGCAGAAUUUCUAGUGUAGAGGUGAAAUUCGUAGAUAUUAGAAAGAAUACCAAUUGCGAAGGCAGCUUUCUGGAUCAUUACUGACACUGAGGAACGAAAGCAUGGGUAGCGAAGAGGAUUAGAUACCCUCGUAGUCCAUGCCGUAAACGAUGUGUGUUAGACGUUGGAAAUUUAUUUUCAGUGUCGCAGCGAAAGCGAUAAACACACCGCCUGGGGAGUACGACCGCAAGGUUAAAACUCAAAUGAAUUGACGGGGACCCGCACAAGUAGUGGAGCAUGUGGUUUAAUUCGAAGAUACGCGCAGAACCUUACCAACACUUGACAUGUUCGUCGCGACUCUAAGAGAUUAGAGUUUUCGGUUCGGCCGGACGAAACACAGGUGCUGCAUGGCUGUCGUCAGCUCGUGUCGUGAGAUGUUGGGUUAAGUCCCGCAACGAGCGCAACCCUCACUUUUAGUUGCCAUCAUUAAGUUGGGCACUCUGAAAGAACUGCCAGUGAUAAGCUGGAGGAAGGUGGGGAUGACGUCAAGUCCUCAUGGCCCUUACGUGUUGGGCUACACACGUGCUACAAUGGUAUCUACAACAGGAAGCAAGACUGCGAAGUUAAGCAAAUCCCUAAAAGAUACCUCAGUUCGGAUUGCACUCUGCAACUCGAGUGCAUGAAGCUGGAAUUACUAGUAAUCGUGGAUCAGCGUGCCACGGUGAAUGCGUUCCCGGGUCUUGUACACACCGCCCGUCACACCAUGGGAGUUGGUUCUACCUUAAGGCAAGGUUUCAAACCCUUGACCACGGUAUAGUCAGCGACUGGGGUGAAGUCAUAACAAGGUAACCG